GGAAGAUGCAUUGGUUUGAUGCACAGACCUUUUCGAUUGCUGUAGUAUUUGGGUUAUGGGAUUUUAAUGUAUAGGGUGGUUGUUGAUAUAAAUAUUUUUUGUUAAAUAAAUAUAAAUAUUGUUUUUAAAGAUUAUACUUGUAAUAUGUUCAAUCUCUCCUUAUUUCCCCUGCUCAUUAAUAAUAAUAAUAAUAAUAAUACAUUUAAUUUAGAGGCGCCUUUCAAGAAACCCAAGGUCACCUUACAGAGCAUAUAGUCAUCAUUCAAAACUAUGUAAAACAGACUAGGAAUAAAAGGAAAACAGAGGUUAAACAUGAAGAAUAAUAAUAAUUAAUAACACUCAAAGACGCCUAAAGUGAAGUGGGGACCUCACUAACCACCACCAAUAUGUAGCACCCACUUGGGUGAUGCACGGCAGCCAAUCGGUGCCAGAACGCUCACUACACACCAGCUUGAGGUGGAGAGUUAGGGAUGAGGUGGAGAGUGAGGGAAAAGAACAUUUAACACUAUCGAUCACAUUUAAACAAUAUCGACCACAUGUAAACACUAUCGACCACAUUUAAACACUAUCGCCCACAUUUAAACACUAUGGACCACAUUUAAACAUGUAAACCCUAUCGACCACAUUUAAACACUAUCGACCACAUUUAAACACUAUCGACCACAUUUAAACAUGUAAACCCUAUCAACCACAUUUAAACAUGUAAACCCCUCUCGACCAUAUUCAAACACUAUCGACCACAUUUAAACUAACGACCACAUUUAAAUUAUCGACCAUAUUUAAACACUAUCGACCACAUUUAAACACUAUCGACCAUAUUUAAACACUAUCGACCACAUUCAAACCCUAUCGACCACAUUUAAACCCUAUCGACCACAUUUAAACCCUAUCAACCAUAUUUAAACACUAUCGACCACAUUCAAACACUAUCGACCACAUUUAAACACUAUCGCCCACAAUUAAACACUAUAGAGCAUAUUUAAACACUAUCAACCAUAUUUAAACACUAUCCACCACAUUUAAACACUAUCCACCACAUUCAAACACUAUCGACCAUAUUUAAACACUAUCAACCAUAUUUACACGCUAUCGACCACAUUCAAAUACUAUCGACCACAUUUAAACCCUAUCGCCCACAUUUAAACACCAUCGCCCACAUUUAAACCCUAUCGCCCACAUUUAAACACUAUCGACCACAUUUAAACACUAUCGACCAUAUUUAAACACUAUCGACCACAUGUAAACACUAGCGAACAUAUUUAAACACUCACACAAUUUGAUAUAUAUCACUAUAUAUAUAUAUAUAUAGAUAUAGAUUUGUGCUGAUUAUAUUAUUACGAUCUAUCCUUGUAUUUAAAUUGCGGAUCCCCAUAAAGGGUAUAAAUUGCCAUCCCCGUAUUGGGUUCCAAUAGGUUGACUGACUCUCCGUCCAUCCUUCGUAUCAUCUGCUGUUCCAGCGCCAGACAAACGGCGGUGAUACUACCGACGGAAAAAGCCGUUACGUCCCAUUGUUUGGAGUGAAAGCAGUUUCUCCCUAUCCAUAUAAUAUAAAUAUAUAUAGAUCUACACAUAUAAAUAGUUUAUAAAAGAAUUAAAAGUUUACAAAAACACACUUAAAUUACUAAAAACAACGCAACACGCACGGAGCUACUGGAUAAUGUGCACAAAUGUACUGUAUGUAUGUUGCCAGUAGACACAUAGAAACCUCCCGGCAGGGUGCGCUUUGCAAGCACACAAAAAAAAUUGCGCGCAAAAAACAUAACAUUUCCCCUCCGCUGCUGCAACUCCAUCCU
rnacentral:lncRNA from 1 species